GUCUACGGCCAUACCACCCUGAACGUGCCCGAUCACGUCUGAUCUCGGAAGCUAAGCAGGGUCGGGCCUGGUUAGUACUUGGAUGGGAGAAUGCUUUCUUUUCUUAAAAUAAAACAAAACAGGACUCCCAAAAGG
rnacentral:rRNA from 1 species